CUAGUAACUGCGAGUGAAGCGGGAAAAGCUCAAAUUUGAAAUCUGGCAGUCUUUUUUUUCUUCUUUGGCUGUCCGAGUUGUAAUCUAGAGAAGUGCUUACCUGCACUGGACCAUGUAUAAGUCUCCUGGAAUGGAGCGUCGCAGAGGGUGAGAAUCCCGUCUUUGACAUGGACUGCCAGUGUGUUGUGGUGUGCUCUCAAAGAGUCGAGUUGUUUGGGAAUGCAGCUCUAAAUGGGUGGUAAACUCCAUCUAAAGCUAAAUAUUGGCGAGAGACCGAUAGUGAACAAGUACCGUGAGGGAAAGAUGAAAAGGACUUUGGAAAGAGAGUUAAACAGUAUGUGAAAUUGUUGAAAGGGAAACGCUUGAAGUCAGUUAUGUUGGCUAGGGAUCAACCUAGCUACUUUUGCUGGGUGAACUUCCUAGUCUUACAGGCCAACAUCAGUCUUGACUGCUAGAAAAGAGCAGAGGGAAUGUGGCACCUUUGGGUGUGUUUAUAGCCCUUUGUCAUAUGUGGCAGUUGGGACUGAGGGAUGCAGCAUGCCGCGAGGCUGGGUUUCUGACCACGUUCAUGCUUAGGAUGUUGGCUUUUAAUGGCUUUAAUCGACCCGUCUUGAAACACGGACCAAGGAGUCUAACAUGCCUGCGAGUGUUUGGGUGGGGAAAACCCUUGUGCACAAUGAAAGUGAAAGUUGAGAUCCCUGUCAUGGGGAGCAUCGACGCCCGGACUUGAGCUUUUAGCGAUGGAUCCGCGGUAGAGCAUGCAUGUUGGGACCCGAAAGAUGGUGAACUAUGCCUGAAUAGGGCAAAGCCAGAGGAAACUCUGGUGGAGGCUCGUAGCGAUUCUGACGUGCAAAUCGAUCGUC
rnacentral:rRNA from 1 species